rnacentral:ncRNA from 1 species
UUAAGGGCGGUUUAUAGGUUGAAUGUGGCUUUGUCUAUUUAUGCAAGAUUUAGUGUUAAAUAAUUUUUAGUGCAGUUAUUAGUAUUGUAGAUCCAGUUAUUUGGGAUGCAGGAAUAGUCUGUAGCACUGACACAAUUUGUGCCAGCAGUCGCGGUUAUACAAAUAGUGCUAUUCAAUUUGAUUGGUUGUGAGUUAGUUUAUUUGACUUAUUUUGAUAAUAAUGAUAUAAUUUGAAGGUGAAAUUUUAAUUUUAUGGUAAAGUCAAAAGGAUUAUUGAAUGAGGCUCAGAAAUUUUUUCUUUAGACUAGGAUUAGAUACCCUGUUAUUAAAAACGUUAAUUUUUAAAGCUAGAUUAGUAUAAGUUAAGGUCUUGAAAAUCAAACAUUUUGGCGGUAUAUUAAUCUCUUCAGAGGAACCUGCCCUGUAAUCGAUAGUCCACGAGAUGUUUAACUUUUUUAAGUGCUUGUAUAUCGUCGUUGUUUGAAUAUUUUUUGAAAAUUUUAAUGUUCUAAGGUUUUCAUGGGAAAGAAGAUCAGAUCAAGGUGCAGUAUUAGAAAGAAGUGGUGGGUUACAUUAUAGUUAUAUGAAGAUUUGAAAGUUUUGAAUUUCGAGGAAUUUGGAUUUGACAGUAAUUUUAUUGAGUUAAUUAUUAUGAAUUGAGCUCUAAAAUAUGUACAUAUCGCCCGUCGCUUUCAUUGUUUUAUGAAAUAAGUCGUAACAAAGCAGGUUUACUGGAAAGUGGUCCUGGAAUGUC